CACGUAGGGGGCGAGCGUUGUCCGGAUUUAUUGGGCGUAAAGAGCUCGUAGGCGGCUAAGUAAGUCGGGUGUGAAAACUCCAGGCUCAACCUGGAGACGCCACCUGAUACUGCUUUGGCUAGAGUCCGGUAGGGGAGCAUGGAAUUCCUGGUGUAGCGGUGAAAUGCAUUGAGAUCGGAAAGAACACCAACGGCGAAAGCACUCUGCUGGGCCGACACUGACACUGAGAGACGAAAGCUAGGGGAGCAAAUGGG
rnacentral:rRNA from 1 species